AUUCCUGGGGGUAAAACACAAAAAACAGAGUUUUCCCUUAGCAGAUGGCUUUUGAUUUCAAGACGUUUCCUUCAAAGACGCUUUGGGGACCCUCCAGACCCCAGAUAUGUCCUCUUCAGUCGACACAGGUGUUGCUUUGUCCUUAGAACUCCUGCUGAGGUCACAGGCACCAAAUGUCAAAUGGUAAAUUCUGCAAGGGGAGGGGGUGAGAUACUAAAUCAACUGCUUACUUAACUGCACUUCUUACAAAUCUCAGACCAGCAAAACACAUCUCUCAUUCUUACCUUUAUGGUCAGAGCUGCUUGAGUCUAAGGGCAUUUUGGUUUGGAGGCUGUGUUUGGAAAACCUUCUGGUACCACUCUAUCUGGGACUAGUCAGGCAGCCUCCCACCCCACCCUCGCCCGGGCAUGCACCGCCAUUUAUCAUGAAAAGAAUGCAGCACCUGCUUCCCCCGCUAAAUUUCCUGCUUUUUGUAAAAGCUUCUAAAAUAGAUUUUGAAUUGUACGGUUUUCAUAAAUGCUGUUUUUGCAAAGUGUUUCUUGAAUAAUUAUUUGUGCUUAGUGUUUGAAAAAUAACUUUGCUCAAAGAGAAGGAAGAUAACGUGUCUAGUGACUAUAACAUUAAUGGGAGCACCCCUGAGCCAAGUUGAAGGAGAUGGAGAUGAGACACGUGGAUAAUCAACAUUUGAGCUCCUGGAAGGGAGCCAUAAACAAGUGGCAGACUUCCGUGGAGCUUCAUCGAUUCGUGUUCACUGAGCCUCAUUCAUUAGGGCAGUUGGGAAGCAGCAGGUGUACACACGUGUGCACAUGUGUGUAUUCCAAGGGGUGUAAGGACGAGAGAUUGGUCCAAGCAUCCUACCAAUGUGACUUCUGCUUCAUCCCAAGAUGAGUCAGAGGCUUUCAAAGUAUUGAAGAAAAUAGGAAACGCUCCCCUAGUUCAUGACGUAAAGCAGGAAGAAGCUUGAAGUGGGGCAGGCUGGGUUCCGGGUGCUGCACAAAAGCCCAAAAUAAAAACAGAGACUUUUCAGCCCAGAAAGAAAGCCACCUUGUCCGCUGCCCAGGCUGGAAAAGACACGGUCCAGAACAUUUAUUCUGCCAUGCUUCAGUCUUUCAGGCAGAAAAAGCCCUGGCAGGAGUUGAUUUUGCAAGUUGAACAGAGAAGACUCGUCUUUGGAGUGGAGGGGAUCAAAUGAUACUAGAUGUGAAAGCACUUUGGAAAGUUAAAGGGAUUAUACAAAGGUUUGUGGCAACCCCGUGUCAAGCACGUCUAUCGGCGCCAUUUUUCCAACAGCAUUUGCUCACUUCGUGUCUCUGUGUCACGUUAUGGCACGAUGCUAAUCGCUCCAGGAGAUGAUCUCUUUUCGUCCUCCCAACCGUCUAUGUGGUUGCCCUCUCUGGAGCUCACACUCAGCCUGGCCAAAACUAAGCUCACCAUCACUUCUACGUUCAUCCCAGACUAACUCCUCAUCCGAUGUGUCUAUUUCUGGGCAGUGACACCAUCUCCUAAAGACAAAGCCAAAAGCAGGCUCAAGGAGCCAUGCCCUGAUGAGACUUUGUCGAUCUACUUCUUGGCUCUGUUUCAGGCCUACAUCAGUCAAAGUCAAAUUGUUGCUGCCUUUAGCAACAAUUGGUCACAUCUGGUCCUCGG